AACGUUCCAGAGGAGUUGGGCCUAGCAAUAUGGCAGCGCACGUUCCAUAGGAAAUCCUGCAGAAUGCUGCUGCUGCUGAGCUCUGUUCCCAAGGAGGGCACAAUCCCUCUGCUCCCUGCCCCGCUCCAGCCUUGACCACUGCAGGGACAGAGUUUUCUCCACCCCAGAAUUCCAACAGCAAAGCCAACCCGGAUUUUCAAAGAUGCUGCAGCACGAAUUUUUUGGCUGCUGAAAACUUUGGGGAAAAGCUGGACGCUUUUGAGAGGAACAUAAAAGUGGAGCUGCAAAUCUCACCCUGCAAUUAUCAGCUCAGCUUUCAGCUCCGGGCCCUGCUGGAAUCCCCUGGUGCAAAAGGGUUGUUGGCUUGGUUGGUGCUGAGGAAAAGGGGAUGGGGGGAGUUUAUCUGGCUGAAGAAAUGAAAUCCCACCCAUGUCCUGCCCUGCUCUGGUGAUGGGGAGGUGAUAGGGGAGCGUUCUUGUCUUAAUUCUGAAGCAGAUGAAAUCAUUUCAUUUAUAAAAUAACACAGAGCUAUUCUUUUCCUUGCUUAGCCCAGCAAUUUGUGAGAGGAACAAUCACUUCUCCUCCUUCAUAUCCAGGAACUUGGAAUCCCUUCUCUGACACGGGAGGGGCUUGGCUUUCCAGCUCCUCUCUCAAAAAUCAGUUUAUUAUAGAACCCCUUUCCUCCCAAUUUCGUGGUAUUUGUGUCUUUUCAAAUAGUUUUUAUGAGAAAAUAAUCGUGCUGGAAAGUCCAAAAGAAGUGGUAGGGCAGGGAAAAACCAUGGAAGCAGGCAGUGCAAAGCCUGCUGUGGAAUAGAAACCUUUAAAGUUGGGAGAGUGGAACAAUUAUUUUUGAAGAAGUCAUUUUUGAAAACCCCAAUGUACAGAUUCUAUAUGAAAAUAAUUAGGCUGUAAACUCAAAAUAAAGUCUGACUAUUUCUUUCCA
rnacentral:lncRNA from 1 species